UGCUCCGGGUGCCAGUGCGUGCCCAAGGCGGUAACCAUUUUCUGCAGAGAAUGAAAGAGGACACGCGGUGUGGUCCUCCUUCCCUUCUUCCCUCCCUCUCCAACUGGGACUAGGUCAGGAUGAAGAAUCUUAUGCCCAUGGUGGGAAAAGACUGAAGCUUAUGCAAAUUAUAAGUGAUGGAGAUUCAGCCAGGUCUUCAAGCUUUGCUACAGAGCUGACUCAUCCCUUAGGCACAGCAGGCGGUGUUACGGCACGCAAUAGUUUUAGGGGCCUAGGUUUGGAAAGCUAGACUGAGAGACAGUGAAACAGAGUGAGCCCUGCAAUCUGACUGAGCAGUUUCUGCUCUCAGGUCAUAUGCUUUCUCCUCCUCUAUGUUCCUUGCUACCCAGAUUGGUCCUCCUUCUGCUCCCCUGUGGCCGCCUUGCUAGAUGGGAACUGAGACAUUAUUUCAUCUGGAGAGAGGAGAGAAAGGGCACCUGGACAUGGGGCCAUGCUCAACCACCCUCCCAGAUGCUCCUGAAGACUCCCCAGACCCUGUCUACAGAGAGAAGAGGUGCACCUGUGGAAUGCCAGGCCUAUAAUUUGCCUCACUCAGGCCCAGAUUUCCUUAGCCUUGGCCAGUGGCUGGCCCAGCCCCCAGCAUUUGAUCUCACCUGUGUCUGGUGGUCAUAG